rnacentral:lncRNA from 1 species
AUCUAGCAUUCAUGCAAAGGAAAUUCGAUCACGAAUUGAAAAAAAAAGGUGCGAGAAAGAGAAAUACAAACCUUUUUGUGGUGGCCAGGAGUUCGCGGCUUGUGAGAGAGCUUGAGAAAUUUGUUCUGGAAGCAAAUGGAAGAGCCCGAUUUUCCAUCAUUCUCUCCUUCCACGAUGAGCAACACGUGUAAAGGACUCUAGAACCAAAAGAAGAAAACAACGGGCAUCCUCAAUGUCACGAAUAUGUUAAUGAACAGUGCUCUCUCUCACACGAUGAACGGUGCUUUUCUGCUGGCUUUAAUUUAGUAGAUAGUAAUUUACAGUGGUGCACCUACCUUUUAUUUUUAACACACUUUUUAUUUGACUAAAUUAAAGAAAAAUAAAUAAAAAAAUUAAGAGGGGUAUGUGAGAAAUAAAAAAGUGUAUGAAUAAAAUCACCUUAAGUUUAUAUUCAUCUGCAUUAUGCAUCUGAUAAUUUUUGUCUUAUUUCGUAUGUUAUCCCAAGUACUGAGAUAUAAUGAUCGAGACUCCUAAUUUUAAUGGUGUUCUAGUUGUUGGUAAUUUGGUAUGUUCUAUGAUCAGUGUAUGCAAAUUUGAUUAUUUUAUGAUCAGUAGUGCAAGGGAGAACAUUUUUUCCACGUGUCGACUAAAGGAUGGAGGGGCAUCCAGCAGGUCAAGUCUACAUAUUCGGUGUAUCAAAUGCAAAAGCGGUGGAAGAAACAAGCCCAUGGACUUGGGGCUUAUUGAGAGCCUAAAUAAGUAGGACGAGUACUCCUUAGAAGGGAACUUUAACGAAAAGCUCCCGGUACUGUUCACUUUAACGAAAAACCACAUUUUUACACUAAAAAGUCAAUCCUGGUACUAUUCACUUUACCCUUUAUUUUGUCCUUAUCAUUAAAACUCAAAGUUUUCAAGCCCUUUUCAUUAGUUUUCCUUCCUUAGAACGGGUCAUGCAAAAAGAGAGAAAAAAGAGACUAGAUUAAUUAUGGCGAGCAUUUUUUUUCCAAAAAAAAAAAAAGAGGGAAAAAAGAGACUAGUUUAUGCCGAGCUUUUUUGGUUUCCUAAAAAAAUAGACUAGUUUAUGCCGACCAUUAUCCGUAACAUUUUAUUCAAUAUAUAUGAGUGACUCAGUAAACGUAGCACAAUUUUGAAGGGUUAACUACCUAAACGUUGUUGCCUAGUUCUAGUUGCAAUCCCCAGCCCACCAAGGGCCGACCACAGGGGUCUUUGUUAACCUCCGAAUUUUAAGCGUUAACAACGUGACAUGUGCACAUUACUUGUUAAGUCAGAUGGCACACAAUGUGGUACAAAAAUAUAGUCUCUCUAAAAAUUUCCUCUUUUGGUUAUCGUGUAUGAGCUGACCAGCUCUCCACAUCGCUAUGGACGAAUCUCCAGUUUUCAAGACAAGAACAAUUGUAGAAAAGGUUUUUCUCCAUAAGGUACAAAAGGUAUUUUUUUUCCUAGCAAUCCACUAGGGUAUGUUUUGUUUUAUACAAGUAGUAUUCAACUUUAAUCUCUACGUUCUCAAAUUUUUUUUGCAGUUUUGUUUACUUCCUAAAGUGAGAGUGAUGCUCACCCCUAUUGAUAGUCGUUAAAAUAGUUUAAAUUUCGAGAUUUGUGUCUUAAAUCAAUUAAAUUAAGGGAGUUUUAACGAAAAGCCCGCGGUACUGUUCACUUUAACGAAAAACCACAUUUUUACACUAAAAAGUCAAACCUGGUACUAUUCACUUUAUCCUUUAUUUUGUCCUUAUCGUUAAAACUCAAAGUUUUCAAGCCCUUUUCAUUAGUUUUCCUUUAAAUUAAACUAAUUUAACGGUUCAAUGGGGGAGGGUUGAGCAGCACCCCACUUUAGGGGGUAAGCAAAGUUGCACUCUUCUUUUUUUAGUAUUUGAUAAGUAUGUUGUCAAUAUUUGGUCAAUAUGCAGAGUACCUCAACUUACUUAUAAGCCCCAUGCAAGGUCCAUAAUGUCGGAGUCAUUCUCAACAUGCCCUCUCUCAUAUGGCGAACAUGGACAACACAAAUAGGUGACGUGGAGCAAGUUGUGGCCGUCGGGCUUCACACGUAGAACAACCUGCUCUUAUAGCAUGAAGAAAGUUGAGAUUUCUCUAUAAAAUCAAUUAAACCCAACUUAUUUAUAAAUUCAUGCAAGAUUUUUUUUAUUAUUAUUAUUAAAUUCAUUCUAAACAAUGAUACAGAAACUUGUAUGGUAGUAGGGCAUCAGUAGUAAAGAGAGAAAGUAGUGAACAUCAUACGGUGGAUGGCAAAUAUUUCCCUGCUAGUUAAUGAUUUAAUGAUUUCAAAGAUUGAACGAUAGUAAGAAAAGGUAGCAUUCGCUUUGACAAGAGGAAAGAAAAAUUAUGAAAUUCAAGUGGCGGGAGUCGUAUGAAAGAAAAACAAGCAUUGUUUUUCCUACAUUGUGAUUACAUAUUUUGACAGUUUUUCUUAAAUAUAAAUUUUGAGAAAUACUUGGUUCCUCAAAAUUCAGGAGGAGUUUUUUCUCAAGAUCAAGGUAUUAAAUAUCGAUAAUAUCGGAAAUAUCGGUAGUCCGAAAACACGGAAAUAUCAAUGGAAAUAUCGGGAUAAUAUCGAUAUCGAUAAAAAUAAUAUGGAAACCACGGAAAUUGUAAGAAAAACUUGGAAAUUUUUAUUGAAACUUUGCAGGAUGUUUAUUUAAUCAAUUAUCUAUUAGU